GCAUUAAUGGGGUAGUGGUAACCUGGGUCGUUGCCAUUUGAGUGACGUAAGUCAAGCUCGACCCGCCGGGGGUUCGAUUCCCUCUUAAUGCA